AGAGCGAACGCUGGCGGCAGGCCUAACACAUGCAAGUCGAACGCCGUAGCAAUACGGAGUGGCAGACGGGAUAGUAACACGUGGGAACGCGCCCUUCGGUUCGGAAUAACUCAGGGAAACUUGAGCUAAUACCGGAUACGCCCUUACGGGGAAAGAUUUAUUGCCGAAGGAACGGCCCGCGUCGGAUUAGCUAGUUGGUGAGGUAAUGGCUCACCAAGGCGACGAUCCGUAGCUGGUCUGAGAGGAUGACCAGCAUCACUGGGACUGAGACACGGCCCAGACUCCUACGGGAGGCAGCAGUGGGGAAUAUUGGACAAUGGGCGCAAGCCUGAUCCAGCCAUGCCGCGUGGAUGAUGAAGGCCCUAGGGUUGUAAAGUCUUUAACGGGGAGAUAAUGACGGUACCGUAGAAUAAGCCCGGCUAACUUCGUGCCAGCAGCCGC
rnacentral:rRNA from 1 species